rnacentral:rRNA from 1 species
UACGUAGGGGGCAAGCGUUGUCCGGAUUUAUUGGGCGUAAAGAGCGUGUAGGCGGCCUGGUAGGUCAGCUGUGAAAACUCGAGGCUCAACCUCGAGACGCCGGUUGAAACCAUCAGGCUAGAGUCCGGAAGAGGAGAGUGGAAUUCCCGGUGUAGCGGUGAAAUGCGUAGAUAUCUGGAGGAACACCGGUGGCGAAGGCGGCAUCCUGGACCAAUACUGACGCUGAGGAGCGAAAGCCAGGGGAGCAAACGGG